UACAGAGGUCUCAAGCGUUGUUCGGAUUCAUUGGGCGUAAAGGGUGCGUAGGCGGCGCGGUAAGUCGGGUGUGAAAUCUCGGAGCUUAACUCCGAAACUGCAUUCGAUACUGCGGUGCUUGAGGACUGGAGAGGAGACUGGAAUUCAUGGUGUAGCAGUGAAAUGCGUAGAGAUCAUGAGGAGCACCAGUGGCGAAGGCGGCUCACUGGCCCGGUACUGACGCUGAGGUGCGAAAGCGUGGGGAGCAAACAGG
rnacentral:rRNA from 1 species